AAUAACAAAUGCUGAAAACUAGUUGUUUUUUUUAUCAAGAUAAAUUCAUUUUAUAUUAAAAAACAAUCAUAGAAAAACUUAACAACAAAUUUGAGGAAUUUAUUUUUCUGUGUAUGUGAAUGAAAUAUAUAGGAUGUUUUUUUCAAUACGAUUUUAUUAACAGGAAAAUUUUUAAUUUGGAAGGAAAGGAACAUCAUUAGUGAAGAAAAGAUACAACAAACCAUAUUGAAGAACAUACGGAAAUAUUUCAAAUGGCAAGCAUACAAAACUAUAAUUCUUCGAACCUAGAUUUAAGUUUAUUAUGUUAAAGUUCAUCAUACUCUUUUAAUUGUGUAUGUACUUUUUAUAUUCAAUGUAAAAUUUCUUUUUUGCUUUGCAAUUACUUAUUAUUUUCGUUCCUAAUGUUUAUAACUUUUUAUGUUGGCCUGCGUAUUACAAACUAUUUAUCAAUUAAAAAAAAAACAUUCCAUUAAUCACACUUAGAAUGUUUGUAGACCCCAACCUCAUGUGUAAAAUAAUUUCUACGCUCUUUCAUUGAAACCACUGUCCAAUGCAUACAUAACUUAUUUAAGGGGUUGACAAUUAACAGUUUGAUAAAUUUUCUAUUGUUGAGGCGGCAUAAACUAGUCCAAGAAUUACCGUUUCAUGUACAUAAAAAUUCCGGGAAAUGGAGUUAUUUGCUGGUUACAACUAUGUACCCUAUAAGAGGGUUUGAUGAGGACUGCAUUGCAUGUUGUUUACAAAACACGAUCGUAUAACUGCGCUCUAUUAGUUUUUUUUUUUAACCUUUUCCGCUGUGAAUGUUUGUUUUACAACAGUGACACAUAUAACAACUUCAAUACAGAGUUAAAAGUGGAUUAAGUUGUUAAUUUAU
rnacentral:lncRNA from 1 species